CUACGGGUCGCUGCAGUCGAGAAUCUUCCGCAAUGGACGAAAGUCUGACGGAGCGACGCCGCGUGGUGGAUGAAGCCUUUAGGGGCGUAAACACCUUUUAUGGAGGAGGAAGUUUAUUGACGUUACUCCAUGAAUAAGGGGCUCCCAAUUCUGUGCCAGCAGGAGCGGUAAUACAGAAGCCUCAAGCGUUACCCGGAUUUACUGGGCGUAAAGGGUGCGUAGGCGGUUAUAUUAGUCGAGUGUUAAAUUGUCGGGCUCAACCUGACAGCUGCAUUCGAAACGGUAUAACUAGAAUAAGUCAGAGGUGUACGGAACUCAAGGUGUAGGGGUGAAAUCCGUUGAUAUCUUGGGGAACACCAAAUGCGAAGGCAGUACACUGGGACUUUAUUGACGCUGAGGCACGAAAGCGUGGGUAGCGAACGGGAUUAGAUACCCGUGUAGUC
rnacentral:rRNA from 1 species